rnacentral:rRNA from 1 species
CCAGACUCCUACGGGAGGCAGCAGUGGGGAAUAUUGCACAAUGGGCGAAAGCCUGAUGCAGCAACGCCGCGUGAGCGAAGAAGGUCUUCGGAUUGUAAAGCUCUGUCCUAGGGGAAGAAGAAAAUGACGGUACCCUUGGAGGAAGCUCCGGCUAACUACGUGCCAGCAGCCGCGGUAAUACGUAGGGAGCAAGCGUUGUCCGGAAUUACUGGGCGUAAAGGGCGCGUAGGUGGGUGCUUAAGUCAGGUGUGAAAACUCUGGGCUCAACCUGGAGACUGCACUUGAAACUGGGUAUCUUGAGGGCAGGAGAGGAAAGUGGAAUUCCUAGUGUAGCGGUGAAAUGCGUAGAUAUUAGGAGGAACACCAGUGGCGAAGGCGACUUUCUGGACUGUACCUGACGCUGAGGCGCGAAAGCGUGGGUAGCGAACGGGAUUAGAUACCCGUGUAA